GACGAACGCUGGCGGCGUGCUUAACACAUGCAAGUCGAACGGAAAGGCCCUGCUUGCAGGGUACUCGAGUGGCGAACGGGUGAGUAACACGUGGGUGAUCUGCCCUGCACUUCGGGAUAAGCUUGGGAAACUGGGUCUAAUACCGGAUAGGAGCCAUCUUUAGUGUGGUGGUUGGAAAGUUUUUUCGGUGUAGGAUGAGCUCGCGGCCUAUCAGCUUGUUGGCGGGGUAAUGGCCUACCAAGGCGGCGACGGGUAGCCGGCCUGAGAGGGUGUACGGCCACAUUGGGACUGAGAUACGGCCCAGACUCCUACGGGAGGCAGCAGUGGGGAAUAUUGCACAAUGGGCGCAAGCCUGAUGCAGCGACGCCGCGUGGGGGAUGAAGGCCUUCGGGUUGUAAACUCCUUUCGCUAGGGACGAAGCUUUUUUGUGACGGUACCUAGAUAAGAAGCACCGGCUAACUACGUG
rnacentral:rRNA from 1 species